rnacentral:rRNA from 1 species
AUUGAACGCUGGCGGCAUGCCUUACACAUGCAAGUCGAACGGUAACGCGGGGCAACCUGGCGACGAGUGGCGAACGGGUGAGUAAUGCAUCGGAACGUGCCCAGUAGUGGGGGAUAGCCCGGCGAAAGCCGGAUUAAUACCGCAUACGACCUAUAGGUGAAAGCGGGGGACCGCAAGGCCUCGCGCUAUUGGAGCGGCCGAUGUCAGAUUAGGUUGUUGGUGGGGUAAAGGCCUACCAAGCCGACGAUCUGUAGCUGGUCUGAGAGGACGACCAGCCACACUGGGACUGAGACACGGCCCAGACUCCUACGGGAGGCAGCAGUGGGGAAUUUUGGACAAUGGGGGCAACCCUGAUCCAGCCAUGCCGCGUGCGGGAAGAAGGCCUUCGGGUUGUAAACCGCUUUUGUCAGGGAAGAAACGCUCUGGGUUAAUACCUCGGGGUAACGACGGUACCUGAAGAAUAAGCACCGGCUAACUACGUGCCAGCCGCCGCCGUAA